rnacentral:rRNA from 1 species
UACGUAGGUGGCAAGCGUUGUCCGGAAUCAUUGGGCGUAAAGAGCGUGUAGGCGGCCAAUUAAGUCCUGCGUGAAAUCUCGGGGCUCAACCCCGAGCGGUCGUGGGAAACUGGUUGGCUAGAGUGCGGGAGAGGAGAGUGGAAUUCCUGGUGUAGCGGUGAAAUGCGCAGAUAUCAGGAAGAACACCCGUGGCGAAGGCGGCUCUCUGGGCCUGUACUGACGCUGAGGAGCGAAAGCGUGGGGAGCGAACAGG